AAUCGACGCUGGCGGCGUGCCUAACACAUGCAAGUCGAACGAGAAAGUGGAGCAAUCCAUGAGUAAAGUGGCGCACGGGUGAGUAACACGUGACUAACCUACCCUUGAGUGGGGGAUAACCUAGGGAAACCUGGGCUAAUACCGCAUAAUACCUACGGGUCAAAGGAGCAAUUCGCUUUAGGAGGGGGUCGCGGCAGAUUAGUUAGUUGGCGGGGUAAUGGCCCACCAAGACGAUGAUCUGAUCCGGCCUGAGAGGGCGCACGGACACACUGGAACUGAAACACGGGUCCAGACUCCUACGGGAGGGCAGCAGUGGGGAAUUUUGCGCAAUGGGGGAAACCCUGACGCAGCAACGCCNCGUGGAGGAUGAAGACCCUUUGGGUCGUAAACUCCUUUCGAUCGGGACGAUAAUGACGGUACCGGAAGAAGAAGCCCCCGGNUAACUUCGU
rnacentral:rRNA from 1 species